rnacentral:rRNA from 1 species
UACGUAGGGGGCAAGCGUUAUCCGGAUUUACUGGGUGUAAAGGGAGCGUAGACGGUAAAGCAAGUCUGAAGUGAAAUGCCAGGGCUCAACACUGGAACUGCUUUGGAAACUGUUUGGCUGGAGUGCAGGAGAGGUAAGUGGAAUUCCUAGUGUAGCGGUGAAAUGCGUAGAUAUUAGGAGGAACACCAGUGGCGAAGGCGGCUUACUGGACUGUAACUGACGUUGAGGCUCGAAAGCGUGGGGAGCAAACAGG